rnacentral:rRNA from 1 species
GAUUUCUGGUCUGUACCAUUUUGCCAGCCACGGUUUCGUGUGUUAGUGCAUUAUGUUCUGGCCAUCCUUCCAAUCGCUAUUUGCCUUUCUUCAUUGAUUGGUAAGUGGUAUUGGAUCUUUUACUUUGAAAAAAUUAGAGUGUUUCAAGCAGGCUUUAUGCUAUGAAUACAUUAGCAUGGAAUAAUAAUUUAGGACUUCGGUUCUAUUUUGUUGGUUUCUAGGACUGAAGUAAUGAUUGAUAGGGAUAGUUGGGGGUGCUAGUAUUCCGCGGCCAGAGGUGAAAUUCUUGGAUUCGCGGAAGACUAACUAAUGCGAAAGCAUU